rnacentral:rRNA from 1 species
UACGUAGGGCGCAAGCAUUGUCCGGAAUUAUUGGGCGUAAAGAGCUCGUAGGCGGUCUGUUACGUCCGCUGUGAAAACCCAGGGCUUAACCCUGGGCUUGCAGUGGAUACGGGUAGACUAGAGGCAGGUAGGGGAGAAUGGAAUUCCCGGUGUAGCGGUGAAAUGCGCAGAUAUCGGGAGGAACACCGGUGGCGAAGGCGGUUCUCUGGGCCUGACCUGACGCUGAGGAGCGAAAGCGUGGGGAGCGAACAGG